UUACUCCCCUUAUGAAUGACCAGGUACCAGACAAGCCAAGGAAGUUUCCUUACACAGAUGAAGCAUAACUGAGAAAGUGGCAACAUCCUUUUACCAGGCUCAUGUUCUCUGCUCAGUCCGUAUGGCAAUUUUGGCCCAUGGUGAAACCACAGCAGGAGAAGCAUGAACAGCAAAUGUCACCCAUGCAGGAGACACGUGGGGCAACCUAAUCCAAAAAUGGAUUAGCCUCAGUGGCUGUACUCUACAGUGCUGAGUAAAUACACCACCCUCUCCUCUGGCCAGGUCCCAAACAAGGAAUCAUCAGUACCUUCUGUGCGUUGCCUUCACAAAGGAACUAGCAAGCUGAGUCAUCAGGAUAGAUAACAUACAAAAUCUGCUAACUCUGGGAAAAUUUGGGUUCCAGAAUAUCAGCUGUUACAUGACCCCCAAGCUUCAACCUGGAACUUCUGGGCUCUCCUGCACCAAGUGGAGUGGAUAACAAUGGAGACCUAAGAACCAUAUACAACUGUGCCAUUCUACCAUCAGAGAACUGAAGAACCUUUCAAGCCUGUUGAGCCAACUUUCAGCAAAGUGGCAUCUUCAUGGAGUCAACAAUGUCGAGGAACAAAGUGGAAAUCAGACAGAACUUGACCAGAGUGAUGGGACUGCAAAACGAAAUUUGCCUUCGGAAAACCUUGGUCAUUGCGUGUGCAUUACCUGCUAGACUAAGUUACUAAUUUAAAUGGUGAGGCCUCAAGAGGCCCAUGCAAUUGGGGUAGCCAAUCUAUAUCAAAAGAGAUGGUGUGUUACAGAAUGGGGAAGAAAACAGUAGCAAGUGGAUGAAAGUACCAUCUUCUGUUUUUCCCAUCAUGUAACCUAAAACUGUUCCAAUGAAAAAUUUUUUACUAUUAUGUUCUAAAGGAA